CAAAACUGACCUAAUGCAAUGGUCGGAACGACCUUACAGGAAAAUGAAAUAAUAUAAGUCCGAAUACAACACUAUAAACGUCAACCUUCCCGAGACACCCACAACGUAUCCGCUAGUCUGGAUGGAUCCCGUCAAGAUCUAGGCUCGGAAACUUCUCAUGAACUCGUCCAAGAGCAUCAUGAAAGCCGUUGUCAUAAUCAACUACCCUUGGGCGGAAACUUCUCAUGAAC
rnacentral:lncRNA from 1 species